AGGGAUGCAGUCUGGGACACGUAGUUGCAAACCUAGCGACUUUGUUGUUAGAUUCAAUGACUUUUCAGACCCCCUAACGACUUUUUUUUAGAAAGAAAGGGACUUUUAUCGACUUCUUCUGGAGUUUAGAGACUCUGACAUGAAGCAGGCUUUCCUUACUGAGGAGUUAGCAACGCUGCUAAGGGUGCAGAGCCACACAUGCGCUCAGAGCUCUGCAUGGGAGACUGAAGCUGACAGAGCUGCAGCAGUUAGCAGGUUUCACCCUCAGAGACCACCAGGGGUUCAUGUUGAGGCAUUUUAAUUUUUUUUUUUUUUGUGCCAUAGACACUGUCAGCACAAUCUGCAGUUACACUAACAAAAAUGCUGCAAAAAACAAAGAAUUAUGGAAAAAUUACACAUGGACUGACAUAGAGGAGGAUCUACACAAGUUUUUUACAUCAUGUUUUACAUCAUGCAUCAUUUACAUCAUGUUUUUUUGUAGUGGCAUAAAUAAAAAGUGACAUUUGUGAGACUAUACAGUGUUUUGUAAAUAAUUUUACAAAGAACGCCUGGGCCAUUGCCUGCAUUUUGAUGUAAAUAGAGGUAAAUCACUAUGUUCUUUGUUAAAAAUUUGCAUAUGUUUUGAAGUUUACAAUUUUUAUUUGAAGUUUAAGUUUUAAAAACAGUUCAUCACACAUAUUUGUGGUUUUCACAGUAAAAAUGUUACUUUUUUCCACUCGGAUUUUAUGUUUUGUGUGUGAAUUUGGGUCCAUUGUGUAAAUUCAGUAUGUCAACAUGAUAAAAUAACUGUAAAUUCGCACAGGUGAGGUUGUGCGGAAAAAAAUGAUACCAGGCAAGGCACGUGAUUGUCAAAUUUUGUGUCAAUAUGACAAAGCGUAUAGGCGUGAAUCUCAACAAUAUGUAUUUUCACCUUAGGGGACAAGAAAAAAUGGACUUUUUUCUCCUGCCAUGGGGGGGCGCUCUUUUGGGGAGUAAAAAUUCCUUCACAAAUGUGUUGAUGGCUGGACAUUGCAUCAUCCUAGAAAACUUGGAGGCCAGUGAGGACAAAAAUAAAAAGUUAUAAGACUUUUAAAUAUGUGGAUUUUAGGGUUAUCUUUGGCGCCCCCUAGAACCUAAACCGUGGGGUGCAGCGUUUUAUUUGAAGUUUAAGUUUUAAAAACAGUUCAUCACACAUAUUUGUGGUUUAAUUUCACAUUAAUUUCCAUAUUGUAUAAAUGACUGGAAAAAACUUGAGCCCCUGCCCCUGUAUAAUCAUGUGCACGUCCCUGUUCUAGCUCCAAGGUGAAUCUUCACUGCUCAUGUUCUCCUCAGAAAUAGUCACCUCACUCCCCUCAGGUUACUGUACACAUGCACCAACUAUCUGCUUCAGGUUUGAAAUGGAGCUUCAUGGUUGUCUUUUGGAGAAAUGAACAGUCAAGUUGUGUUUGAAAUUUGAUUUUUUUCAGGGGCAAAAGGAAGCCUCUGCAUUCUUGUCAAAUAUGUAAACAGCAUGUUUUUGCAGGUGCUAAAAAACAGACUCUGAGUGUGUGUGUGUGUGUCUGUGUGUGUGUGUGUGUGUGUGUGUGUGUAUGUUGGCGUGUGUGUAUAUGUGUGUGUAUCCUGCAGUACUCUGUACUCCUGCAGUGGCCAAAAAAACUUUUAAGAAUGUGGAUUUUUGGGUCAUCUUUGGCGCCCCCUAGAACUGCAGUACUCUGUACUCCUGCAGUGGCCAAAAUGACUUUUAAGAAUGUGGAUUUUUGGGUCAUCUUUGGCGCCCCCUAGAACGUAAACCGUGGGGUGCAGCGUCAUGAUUUUAACAACUUUGAAUGGGCAUGGGGUGUAGAUUGCCCUGAGCAAAUUUGGUAUCGGUGGGACGAAAGCCUUAGGAGGAGAUAGCCACAUUCCAAUGUGUGCGAAUCGGCAAAAAAUGCAAAAUAGCCCUUUAACCGUACAUUAUACAGAUACGCGCUCUUUGACUUUUUCGUAGAUCUAAUUGAGAUACACAUGAUUGUCAAUUUUUGUGUCAAUAUGACAAAGCGUUCAGGCGUGACACUAAACAAUGUGUAUUUUCAUGUAAGGGGACAAGAAAAAAUUGACUUUUUUCUCCUACCAUGGGGGGGGCGCUCUUUUGGGGAGUAAAAAUUCCUUCACAAAUGUGUUGAUGGCUGGACAUUGCAUCAUCCUAGAAAACUUGGAGGCCAGUGAGGACAAAAAAAAAAAGUUAUAAAACAUUUAAGAAUGUGGAUUUUUGGGUUAUUUUUGGCGCCCCCUAGAACCUAAACCAUGGGGUGCAGCAUCAUGAUUUGAAUAAAUUUUAAUGGCCAUGGGGUGUAGAUUGGCCUGAGCAAAUGUGGUGCCAGUGGAACGAAAGCCUUCAGAGGAGUUAGCGAAAUUCCAAUGUGUGCGUAUCGGCAAAAAAUGCGGAAUAACCCUUUAACUGUACAUUUGACAGAUACGCGCGCAUUGACUUUUUCGUAGAUCUUAUUGAGAUACAUGUGUGUGUCAAUUUUUGUGUCAUUUUGCCAAAGCGUACAGGCGUGACACUCAACAAUGUGUAUUUUCACCUUAGGGGACAAGAAAAAAUGGACUUUUUUCUCCUGCCAUGGGGGGGCGCUCUUUUGGCGAGUAAAAAUUCCUUCACAGAUGUGUUGAUGGCUGGACAUUGCAUCAUCCUAGAAAACUUGGAGGCCAGUGAGGACAAAAAUAAAAAGUUAUAAGACUUUUAAAUAUGUGGAUUUUAGGGUUAUUUUUGGCGCCCCCUAGAACCUAAACCGUGGGGUGCAGCGUCAUGAUUUGAAUAACUUUUAAUGGCCAUGGGGUGUAGAUUGGCCUGAGCAAAUGUGGUGCCGGUGGAACGAAAGCCUUCGGAGGAGUUAGCGAAAUUCCAAUGUGUGCGGAUCGGCAAAAAAUGCGAAAUAACCCUUUAACCGUACAUUUGACAAAUACGCCCGCAUUGACUUUUUUGUAGAUCUUAUUGAGAUACAUAUGUGUGUCAAUUUUUGUGUCAAUAUGACAAAGCGUACAGCCGUCAUGUGAAUUUUCACCUUAGGGGGCGCUAUGGAGCCAUUUUGCAUUUUAUUGUUUGGGCGACUUCAGAAUAUCGAAUUUUUCACCAGGCCCGGUCGUCCUGCCAAAUUUCCUGAGUUUUCGCCAGUGGGAAGUGGGCAAUUUUCCAGUUCAAAGGGGAGGAAAAAGAAAAACUAGGACCCCGUUGGGGCACUGGCGGGCCCGAGCCGUGUCGCGUCCCCCCCCCAACGUGCUGCCUCCCCGUCCCAUUUGUGUCCUCUGGCCAUCGCCCUCUUUGGUAACGCCCAUCACUGCAAAGACCCUUUUCCUUCAUCGGCGUUUGCUGUUCUUCCUGCCAGUGCGUGUUGCUUUCACUUACACUUGCCACAGCCAGCCUCGUGAGUGCCUAGCCUAUUGGAUAUCACUGUCACCUACACAGGACAGUCAUUACCUUUCUAUUAAUACUUUGUGUUUUAAUUUCACAUUAAUUUCCAUAUUGUAUAAACGACUGGAAAAAACUUGAGCCCCUGCCCCUGUAUAAUCAUGUGCAUGUCUCUGUUCUAGCUCCAAGGUGAAUCUUCACUGCUCAUGUUCUCCUCAGAAGCACUCACCUCACUCCCCUCAGGUUACUGUACACAUGCACCAACUGCCUGCUUCAGGUUUGGAUGGAGCUUCAUGGUUGUCUUUUGGAGAAAUGACCAGUCAAGUUGUGUUUGAAAUUUGAUUUUUUUCAGGGGCAAAAGGAGCCUCUGCAUUCUUGUCAAAUAUGUAAAUAGCAUGUUUUUGCAGGUGCUAAAAACCAGACUCUGAGUGUGUGUGUGUGUGUGUGUGUGAGUGUGUGUGUGUGUGUGUGUGCGUGUGUGUGUGUCUGUGUGUGCGUUCAAGUCACAUGACAUAUUUAACCGGAUGUAGCUGCAAGACGGAGCCUCGUUGACUCUCCGUUUCAACUUAUCUCAAAAGUGAGGACCUCAACCUAUAUACCAGUUUUUAAAUUGUCUUGAUAGGCCAAAUAAAACCAGAGUUAUGAUAAAUUAUGUCCGCGAUACUUUUUUUCUGCUUAUUUUGAUCACGUUCGGCGCUCGAUCGCGCUGUAUGAGACAGGAAAACAUAGCAUGCAGACAUUAGCGACAGGUCUUACAGGCGGAAAAGGCUUGCCAAAAGAAAAAAAAAACACACCACAACAUCUCUCCUAUUGGUGGAAAACUUCACCACAACAACCAAUCCAAAAUUAUAUGGUGACUGAUUGACAAGGGGGGCGCUUACGUUCUUCCUGCAACAUGAGAAGCGAGGGAGGGACUCUCAGCAGGGAUGCAGUCUGGGACACGUAGUUGCAAACCUAGCGACUUUGUUGUUAGAUUCAAUGACUUUUCAGACCCCCUAACGACUUUUUUUUAGAAAGAAAGGGACUUUUAUCGACUUCUUCUGGAGUUUAGAGACUCUGACAUGAAGCAGGCUUUCCUUACUGAGGAGUUAGCAACGCUGCUAAGGGUGCAGAGCCACACAUGCGCUCAGAGCUCUGCAUGGGAGACUGAAGCUGACAGAGCUGCAGCAGUUAGCAGGUUUCACCCUCAGAGACCACCAGGGGUUCAUGUUGAGGCAUUUUAAUUUUUUUUUUUUUUUUUGUGCCAUAGACACUGUCAGCACAAUCUGCAGUUACACUAACAAAAAUGCUGCAAAAAACAAAGAAUUAUGGAAAAAUUACACAUGGACUGACAUAGAGGAGGAUCUACACAAGUUUUUUACAUCAUGUUUUACAUCAUGCAUCAUUUACAUCAUGUUUUUUUGUAGUGGCAUAAAUAAAAAGUGACAUUUGUGAGACUAUACAGUGUUUUGUAAAUAAUUUUACAAAGAACGCCUGGGCCAUUGCCUGCAUUUUGAUGUAAAUAGAGGUAAAUUACUAUGUUCUUUGUUAAAAAUUUGCAUAUGUUUUGAAGUUUACAAUUUUUAUUUGAAGUUUAAGUUUUAAAAACAGUUCAUCACACUUAUUUGUGGUUUAAUUUCACAUUAAUUUCCAUAUUGUAUAAAUGACUGGAAAAAACUUGAGCCCCUGCCCCUGUAUAAUCAUGUGCACGUCCC
rnacentral:lncRNA from 1 species